rnacentral:miRNA from 1 species
UCUGCACGUAUAUAUAUAUACAUAUACAUAUGUAUAUAUAUAUACAUAUGUAUAUAUAUACACAUAUGUAUAUAUACAUAUAUAUACACACACAUAUAUAUAGACAUAUAUAUAUAUA